rnacentral:lncRNA from 1 species
GCGUCCCUCUUCCUCGCUGGCAAGAACCUCUUCGGCUGCAUCCCCUUCGAGCUCGGCCUCCUCGGCUGGCUCAGACGGCUCAACCUCGCCGGCAGUGACUUCUCCGAGCCCAUUUCCUCCCGCCUCUUCAAUGUGACCUCAUUCGUCUCUCCUCAUCGAUCGGCUGAAGGCUCGGUGGGGGAAAGAAGGGGGGUGAUCACAGUCCUUCUGGUUUGUCACGCUGGCACACAAGAUGCACUGAAUAUUUUCUUGGCUUGUGUGUGAAUAAAUGCAGAGACGGUAUGGACAGCGAGCGCUCUCAUAAUCACAGCACUGAUCGGAUCUGGAGGCCCGUCCCUGGCUUGGGCCAUUGCGCAGCUCGGCUGGAUCGCUGGCCCCACCAUCGUGCUCCUAUUUGCCUUUGUCACUUACUACACCUCCACCCUCCUCACCACCUGUUAUCGCUCCGGCGACCCCACCACCGGCAACCGUAACUACGCCUACAUGGGUGCUGUCCGUGACAAUCUUGGUAUGUCACAUUUGUAUCUGUGUUCAUGUUCAUAUAUUCACAUACUAAUGUCCGAGUCAAGUCCAAUCAUGUUGUGUUGGUUGCUAAAAUCUUCUCUUUGAUUAAAUUCUCCAGGUAGCCUCAAAAUCAAGCUUUUUGAGCUGGUUCUAUACGUGAACGUAUUUGGGGUUGCCAUUGGUUACACCAUUGCAUCUUCCACCAGCAUGAUGUGAGUAUAUUUGCAGUGAGAUUUCUAGUGAUUGCUAUUUCGAUGGUGUCAAAAGUUAUGUGAGUUUGAUUUUAUUGGCUUCCAUGGUCAUUGCAGGGCUAUCAAGAGGUCCAAUUGCUUCCACGAGAAAGGUGAGAAGGACCCGUGUCCCAUCAACAGCAAUCCUCACAUGAUUGCGUUUGGCUUCGUUGAAAUCAUUUUCUCUCAGAUCCCCCAUUUCGAUCAGCUGUGGUGGCUGUCGAUGGUCGCCGCCUUCAUGUCCUUUACCUACUCCAUCAUUGAACUCGGCCUUAGUAUUGCCAAACUUGCAGGCACGUGAAAUUUUUUCUUGCUGAACUGCUCUAUUUAUGUUUCUAAGCUAUCUCCAUUGAUGAUAGAACCUAGUCGACUUAUGAAGUUCUGAUUUAGUGUUCUCUUCUGGAUUGUUUUAUCUUCAGAGACAGGGAAAAUUAAGGGAAGUCUCACUGGGAUCAACAUAGGGGCCUUGACCUCAACGCAGGAAAUAUGGAGGAACUUCCAGUCUCUUGGUGACAUCGCCUUUGCCUAUUCGUACUUCCUCACCCUCUUUGAAGUUCAGGUGACCAAAGCUCUCUCAAAUGCAUGACACAAGAAAGUACUAGUUAUGGUUAAUAGUUCUGAUGAAUUGAAAUCAUUGACAUGAUGAGUUUAUAUUUGUUUUAGGACACCAUCCGAUCCUCUCCAUCUGAAUCAAAGACGAUAAAGAAGGCAAGUCUUAUCAGCAUAGCAGCCACAACCCUUUUCUACAUGAUCUGUGGGUGCAUGGGCUACGCAGCCUUUGGGGAUAUGGCACCCAAAAACCUCCUCACUGGGUUCGGCUUCCACAAUCCAUACUGGAUGGUCGACAUUGCAAACGCCGCAAUCGUGAUCCACCUCGUCUGCCCGUACCAAUUCAACUGCCAACCGCUAUUCGCCUAUGUUGAGAAGACCUUGGUUGAGAAAUUUCCCAACAGCCAGUUCUUCACGAGGGAGAUCGAAAUCCCCAUCCCCGGGUGCAGCCCUUACAAGCUCAAACUCUUCCAGUUGGUCUGGAGGACGAUCUUCGUGAUCGGGACCACCUUCAUCUCCAUGCUCCUCCCAUUCUUUAACGACAUUGUUGGGCUGCUCGGAGCGCUAGGUUUUUGGCCUCUCACGGUCUUUUUCCCACUGAUUGUUCCACCACCUCCUCUAGUCAGUCUCAUGGUAGUUUGAACCCCUGUGUUUCCCCCAUUCACCUUGGGAGUCAUUCUUAGAUUUAGACCUUGUCUGGUUUAUCAAAUCUAUAACGGGGCAAGACACAUCGCGCUACUAUGUCGACAGCGAUUGAACCACGCCUUCACCACCAUUGAUCUCUCAAACUCCAUCUCGACUUUUUGUUGGUAGGAGAGAUUUUCUAUCCAAUGUGAUUUCUUGAUAGCAAAGCAUCGGCACACACGACCAAUGACAUUAUAAAAUCCUAAAUCUUAAACUGUUUUACGAUUUGACGAAAGUCUUAGUUGGUAAUGGUAAUUUAUUGCCUAUUAAGCAAGUUGGUAAUUUUUUUUUUUUUUUUACAUAUGAAUAAUGAAACAAGUUGUAUCUAAACUUUAAUUUAAUGUGUAAUGUCGUACAUGAACUUUCAAUUUGUUCAAUAUAAUCCCUAAACUUUAAUUCAAUAUGCAAUGUCGUCACCGAAUUUUUAAUUUGUCUAAUGUGAUCCCUAAAAUUUUGAUACAUGUUCAAUCCAAUCCCUAAACUAUAUGAAAAUGUGCAAUAUUACCAUUGUCAAAUUUCAUGGACCAUUUGUGUAUUUUUCCUUUUGCACGCUUGCUCUCAAUCUUNNNNNNNNNNNNNNNNNNNNNNNNNNNNNNNNNNNNNNNNNNNNNNNNNNNNNNNNNNNNNNNNNNNNNNNNNNNNNNNNNNNNNNNNNNNNNNNNNNNNUCUUAGUUACUCAACUUGGAUGCAAAAGUUCUUAUGCUAUUUUGAUUUUAAUGGUUCAUUAUUUACUUGAAGGAUCAAUGAACUGAGAAAACUCUCCUCCAAGCUUACUUCUCUCUUUAUCUAAGUUCUAACUUAUUGAUGUCAUUUCACUCGCAUCCUAUCAUGGCUUCCUCUACUUCACUCACUCACUCAUUAGCAUGCUCGUCUUGGGCAUCCUAAUAGAUAAUUUUUAGUCAUGUUUGCAAUUCUACUUCAAGAUUAGUUUCUUGUGAGUCCUGUCUCAUGGGACAAAUCUCGUCAAUUGCCUUAUGAGUUUGCUAGUCAUCGCACAUCUUUUCCUUUGAUUAUAAUUCAUUUGAUGUCUAGAUGAGUGCAAUUUUAUCUAUUUUUAGUUUCAUAUAUUUUGUAUUAUUCAUCAAUGACUACUCUCAGUUUACUUGGUUCUUUACUAUGAAAAUUAAAUUUGUAGUGCAUACACACUUUUGUUGCUUCCUUUGUUUUAUUGAAAAUUUUUGUAACGCCAAAAUUAAAUUUUUACAAACUCAUGAUGGAGGGAACCAUCUCAAAAUGGCCCAUUAGAACGCAAAACACUUAGUCGAAAUGUCUUGAUCCUUAUUAAUCUAUGCUCCUAUGCUUUCUUCAAAUUGGGUUGAUGCUCUUUGCUACUACUUACACUAUUAAUCAAUUUCCCAAUCCUGUCACCUAUGACAUUUAUUCUUUCAACUUUUUAUUUGGGUUCUAGUUUAAUUAAUUGUGUUUCUCACAAGUUAGCACCUCAUUUUGUGCCAUGGGUAUUUCUCGAGUAUGCGUCCAAUCACAAAAGCUAUGCUGCAUUGAUUGAUCAAGUGAUCGUGCUUUUAUUGGUCGUUAUGCUUGGCUUGAUUAGAGGAUUUUUUUUCCUUUUUAUAUAAUCCUUCAACUCUUUGUCUUGUAACCCACCGUUUAGGAUCAGCCCCUUCAUUUUUUGUUUCAUUCAAUCAAUUUAUUCUUCCUUCUUGCUCCUCUGACGCUCUCUCCUCCUAUCCUACUCAAACUCCUUGGCCUCUCUCCUCUUCUCUAUCCUCACCUCCUAACCCCCCUCCCUCCUCUCUUUUGCCCACCAACUUGCUUCUAUUUCUUUUUCCCCUUCACCGCCUAGCCCUCUGACCCCAAUUAUCGUGUCCCAACCUAACUCCUCUCUCGAUUGAAUUCCUCCCACAACAGAGCUGCAAAUCCUCUUUUCAUCUAUGUCAAGCUCCUAUACUUAUGUUUCUUUUCUUCCCACUCAUCCUAUUCAGAUUCGUGACAAAUCUACAACUUCUAAACCUAAUUUUUUAUUUAAUCACUCUCACUCUUUCACCAAGGGACAUCAAUGUGCUACUCUAUGGCCGUUCUUGCUUGACCCACGUUAGAAAGCAACCAUGACAGAUGAAUUUUUUAAUGCCUUGUUCUUCAACCAUACAUGGGAUCUUGUACAAACUAAACCUUCUAAAAAUUUAGUUGGUUGUAAAUGUGUUUUAAAGUUAAGGAAAAAUUCAAUGGAACUAUCCAACGCUUCAAAACUCACCUCUUUUCACAAGGCGAUAUAUUGAACAUGUACAUACAGUUCAAAACUAAAUUGAACAUGUACUAAAGUUCAGGAACAACAUUAAACAAAUUAAAAGUUCAUGAACAAUAUUUCAUAUUAGACUAAAGUUCAAUGACCGUAUUAAGCAAACUUAAAUUUCAUGGAUCACAUUGUACAUUAGAUCAAAAUUCAGAAAUCAUUUGUAUUAUUUACCCUUAUUUCUAAUGUUGAUCAGGAAUUCUCUUUUACUUUAUUGCCCAAAACCCAGAUAAUGGGUGGACUCCUUCCCAAUACAAGCCCAAAAUUACUCAGACAACCCUCACAAACCCAAGAGCCAGUAGGCCCAACGUUAAACCUAAAUCAUCGAACCCUAAUGUCCAAAAGAAAGUCCCAAGCUAAAUUACCUAAUUACAAAGCCCAACGCCUAGAAAUCCCCUCGCAAGAUGGCCUGAUGGCCCGAGUCCCUUAUUACAUAUCACCCGAGGGGAAAAACUAAUACUUCUACAAGAACAAGGAAACACAAAGCACAAAGGCUCGGAUGACAAUCUAAUCCAGGAUUCUCCAUUUAAAAUAUAGAUUGUUAGCUUCAUCAUCCACUACUCUCCUUCCAUCACUUAUUAAAGCUUCGAAGGCAGGUCUGAUCCAUAAGCAAAUUGCCUGCCAAAACCUUGUUUACAUGGAGUGGUUUGCCCAUGAAGAACCAUAUUUUGCUCCUUCCAAAUGCUAUAUACAGUGGCAUACCAUGCUUGAACUAGACAUUAGACUAAACUAGUACAUUUAGGAUUUUUAAAAUAUUUAUGAUUGAAUUGAAAAAAAAAAUGUAAUACAUUUAGGAUUUUUAAAAUAAUUUUUCUCAAAAUAGUAUUAUUAUUUUUUUGUUCGAAAGCAAAAUAAUGCUGUGUUGAAUGAUAUCUUAUAUAUUAGUUGAAGCAAACGCGUGAUUUAAUAGGUAUAACUAAUUACUGUCAUGAGCUAAAUAGUGCUCUGUUGAAUGAAUUAUUGUCCUUGCAUAUUAUCCAACUACUGGUCGAAAUGUUAAGCAUCAUUUCACUUGUGCCAAAGGAAAGUUAAAUUAGUUACCAAGAAAAAGAAAAAUGAAAUUAGAUCUACACUAUUCUACUAAAUCAUCAAAUUUUUAUAGAAGUGUCAAAAAGAACGAAAGAACCAUCCCAUUAAUUUUGCAGUCUCAGUUGUAGCUUUUGUUGUUUAGCCACAAAAAUAAAGGGCAAAAGUCCUAUACCAUGCUCACUGAAAACAAAAAUCUCAAACUUAUAUCUAUGUAAUAUAUUUACUCCUAUUAAAGUUCUGCUACUGAAAACUGUUAAAAGAUCUAACUUCAUGGACGCCAAAAAGCAAACAAUAUUGACUCGGCACUCAUGUGGAUUAAAUAAAAUAAAAAUAAUGAGUUUAAGGUAAAAUGAAUAGCAAUAGGCAUAAUUUGGGGCUUUUGAUAUCCAGGAUGAAGUUAAAAUACAUCAGCGUGAAAAGGUAAUUAUUAUCCUACAUAUCCGAACUUGUGAUGUCAAACAUUAACUGAAGUUCAUAUUACUCAGAGCUACAAGCUCCUAAUUCUUGCUGACUCAAAAUUUCAACUUUUAUUCCAUGCUGAAGUUGAGUUCUUACAAUUAUGCUCAGCUGCCGUAACGAAUUUCAAGUCAUUCUGUACUGUAUUGCCUAGAUUUAUCUCAAGACUCUAUUAACAUCGCAGUUCAUGUGAGAUCAACCAACACAACCAUCUAACCAAGAAAUGGCAUUGACUGUUCUGUUUUGCCGAUGCUAUAUGGUUCCCUUUGAUUCGUGGACUUGGGCAAAGUGCUAUCGGUCUCACUUGAAUGGGCCGGUGGCCCUGGUGCUCUGUUUACAGAAAGGCCUGGCACUUGAAACCAACUUCCAAAUCCAUAUGAUAACUUACUCCAAUCUUUGUAAAUUUUUUGACAAUUUUCUAAACUUUUCCAAAUCACUUUUUGUUACCAUCUUUCAUUUUUCUUCACGUUGUCGCCUCCAUUCGUAAAGGGGAAAAAACAAGAACAAAAACAAAAAUGUAGUUGUAGCUUCUUCUUUUAGUUUUCUUUUUUGGUUUUAGUGUUAAAUUAGUGUCCUGGCCAGUUUUUGUGCAUUUCAAUUAAUCCACCACUCCAAGUGAUAUUAAAGGAGGCACUCCUGACAUCGGCCUACUGCACUCAGGAUUUUACUUCUGGAGCGCUUCCAAUAAGAUUUGAACCCAAGAUCACAAAGAUGAAGAUUUCAUUGACAUAUUAUUGGAAAACUGAAUCAAGUCUUGUAUGCCAACAUUGUGGAAGUGUGUUAUUUGAUUUCACCACCGCAUAUGGAUAAAGUAAAUGCGCGAUCAUUGAAUUUGUCCAUGGAGCUUAAGAUCACAGAGUUGCAGUUUGUAACCUUUAAGUUGAAUAUCGACCGCUUUCAUACCUAAUUGAACUUGAUUUUCUAAAAACUUAGAUCUCUGGGUGAUACCAUCGUCAUCAUUAGAUGACUGAUGACAUGAUUUUUUUCCCAUUAAGGGAACAAAUUCUCUUCCCUUAAUAUGAAAACCAUUGAAUUUUCUCCCUUGUCGGGUCCACUCUUGCCAAUCAUCGGUGGCUUCGUUUAUUCUAUGGUGUCGCUCCCAUUUUGCGCGUGUUUUGAAGUGCACACCGGAGAUAGGACAAAACACUUCAGCUUCAGCAUCUAAGGCUUUUAAAAAAGUCAUCUGUGGUUGCCACAUUGGCUUUAAAAUUGAGAGUCUCUUUCCCACCUCUCUACCUGGUUCGAAUCGCUUGCUUUAUAAAGAAGCUUCCCCUAAUCCUCAGAAGUGCACCCCAAAUGGUGAUCUCUUCCCUGAUAAUAGAGAGAUAUCAACUAUAGGGCAAAAGAAGGCACCACAUCCCCACAUGCAGUGAACGCAAGGCCGGACGAUGAAGCUACUCUCGAUUUCACCCCACAAGCAAAAAUGAAAUAUCAUCAAAAUACCAGACGAUACAUUCAUUUGAUAAUGUAAUUAAUGAGUUCUCGCAUGAAAUGUUUCUUUACUUUCAUCUAAUAUUUUUUAAAAUAUUAUUCAUAAGAUAAAUGAGAAAUUAAUUUUUUUUCUCCCUCUUGUCCAACUGAUACUAAAUAAAUUAAAGGACCUCCGCCUUGUCCCCAUAAUGUCUCACCACCACAAGGUAACGCUGCACCUACCGGGGAAAAAAGUGACAGGAGGAGUAAGUCGACAUUUUCUAAUAGUGACAUCCAUGAUGACAUUUUUUGACUUUAUCGGAAAAAAGCAGGAUUGAAGAUUCCGUGCCUUCCGAACACCCAACGCAGAUUUGAUUGAAGUUUCCUUUCUCACGGGUUUACGAUGAAGCAUGACCUGACGUUGGCCUCCACCUUUAAAUUGUGAGCUACUCUGAAUAUAAUAUUUCAUCAGGCUAACUUAAAGGAGGAGAUGUCGAUGAUGGAUUCGCGAUUCCAAGAGGAGAUGAACCUACAACGUAGAUUAGAUUGAAGUUUUCCAUUUUCACUGCUUUCCAAAGAAAGCAUGACCUAAUGUCGGUUCCCGCCCUCAAAUUGCGAGCAAAGAUUACCUGUAAUAUUUUAUUAGGCUAACUUAAGGGAGGAGACGUGGAUGAUGGACUCGCAAUUCAAGGAGAGACGAACCCACGCGCAGAUUGGACUGAAGUUUCCCCUUUCUCACGACUUUCGAGAAAGCAUAAACCUGAUGCUGGCUUUCCACAGAUAAAUUGUGAGGCAAACAUGACCUCAAGGAGGGAGAUGAACCCCACAACAUAGAUUGGAUUAAGGGUUUACCUUUCUCACGAUUUUUUGAGAAAGCAUAACCUAACGUUGGUUUUCACAUUUAAAUCAUGAGCAAAAAUGACCUCUAUAUAAUACUUUAUUAGGCUAACUUAAACGACAUCAAUGAUGGACUCGUGAUUUAAGGAGGAAACGAACCCACAACAUAGAUUGGAUUGACGUUUUCAUUUUUCACGACUUUCCGAGAUAGCAUCACCUAAUUUUGAUUUCCACAUUUAAAUUGCAAGCAAAAAUGGCCUCAAUAUAAUUUUUUAUUAGCCUAAUUCAUAGGAGGAGACGUCGACGAUGGACUAGCAUUCAAGGAGGAGACGAGCUUCACCAUCUGAUCCACCGAUGCUUUUUACUUAGUCAAAUAGCCAGAUGAGAUCUCAUCAUAUCAUUAAUCUCAGUAAAGCACUUCGUACGUGUAAUGGAAUAAUUACAAUAACUCUUCGGUUGUGCAGUGGACUCGACUAAUCUCCAUAAUUCCAGUCUCCCUGAGGUACAGUUUAAAUGACUCGAAGGAAUUGAAAAGAGACUUACUCUGACCAGAGUAAAGAGACUUUAUUUGAAGAUAAAUAGAAGCAACUCAUGUGAUUCGACCCAGAAACAAGAAGAAUGACCAAUUAUUCUAUUUACAAAUUUAUUACUAAUAAAAGAUUGCUUGUUAAAUAAUCCGUGAUUAGAGGUAUAUCUUUACACGGCCGUCUUGUACUCGCUUUUUCUUUUUCCAUUUAUGAAUCUCGCAUUUAUACAUCUUUCUUACGGGGGAUCGGCAUAGUGGGCAACACAAAAUUAAAUUAAAUAAAACAAAAGCUUUCCAUCGAAUAAGUCUUUUAAAAAUCGGACAUAUAUCAAUAAAAAUGGAGCUGAUGAUCAAGCUUUUGGAGUUGGCCCAAGAGAUCAUUGGUAACAUCUUCUUAAGCUGAUCAAAACGAUGGCCACGCAAAUCUCCAAGAUAAGCAAAAAUGUCACCAUCCAGAAAAAACAUGCUAUGGAACUGCAAAUUACUUGUUGCUGACAAAACGAUAUAAUUAAAACUGAUCAAUUUCAAUCCUUAUAGUCUUUUUCGGAAUCGAAAAAGGGUUGUGACUAGAGCUGGCAAAAUAGGUCAUGAACCCAUAUUAUGACCCAUUUUAAUUAAAUGGGUCAUAUGUGGGUCAAGUGAAAAUUAAAUAUGAGUUAGAAAUGGGUUUUAGAAAGUAAAGCAAGAAAAAAAAAUGGAUCUAAAUGGGUUAUUAGGAAACCUACUUUGAACCCAUGACCUUUCUCCUAUGCAGCACAGGCUCCGCCUCAAUUCUCUCUUCCUUCCAUGAUUGCAAAUCUUUCGAUGAGUAGAGCACCCCCUCUCCUUUCCGAUCCCAACCGAUUGCAACCACUGCCUACCCCACCGUCACACCGCCAUCCUCGUCGUCGAUCCCGAGCUCAUCGGCCUCAGGCGAGCCACGAGCUCGCCGGCCUUGACGGAGCUCGAGCUCGCCUGGAUCGGGCGAGUCACAAGCUCGUCGGCCUUGGCCGAGCUCAGGCUUGCCUAGAUCUAGUGAGCUCGUGCUGCGACGGAGCUUGGGGUCGCCUGGAUUGGCCAAGCCGCGAGCUCACCGACCAUGGCCGAGCUCGAGCUCGCUUGGAUCUGGCGAGCCGCAAGCUCGCCGGCCGCGAUGGAGCUCGAGCUCGCCCAGAUCGACCGAGCCUCGAGCUCACUGACCGCAAUGAAGCUCGGCAGCUUGAGCUCGCUUGGACGGGCAGAACCUUGAUCUUGCCGAACUGCAGCUUGGUCGGUUACCAUCGACGGAGUAACAAUGGAGAAGAAGGAGGAGGAAAAAGAAAGAAAAGAAGAAAAGAAGAAAAUAAAAUAAAUAAUAAUAAUUUAGAAAAAGUUAAAAUAAUAAAAAAGUCAAAUUUUUUUAAUGAUAUUUGGUGGAUAGAUAUCCAUAUACAUAUCGGAGAAGUACUUUUAGACGAAGCUUGAUGCAGUUUAGAUUGAUAAAUAAAAAUUCUAAACAUCAUAAUGUAAUUUUUAACUUGGUGAACUAAAAUCAAGAAAUCAACCAAAAUUAAAAACAAUUACAAUUAAGAAGCUAUGCAUUCUCGAAUUCAAGAAGAUUUUUUAUAAGCAAAUAUUAUUUUCAUGUCAAUUAUUAGCUCAUCAAACUUUUUUCUUAUCAAGAGUUCUUCAAAAGUAUUUCAAUUUAAAGGUUUUUCACAUUUUUUUAUUUUAUUUACUUUUUAAAUUUGGUGUAAAGUUUUUAUUUAAGUAACUAAAUAGAGUCAAAUAUAAAUGUGUUUUGAUAAUAUGAGCCGGGUCGAGUAUAAGUUAUCAAUUUUACAUUGCAUGAAAAUUGAUCAAAACGGGUUAAAUGGGUUAAUAUGGGUUGGACCUUUUUUGACCUGACUCAAACCCAACUUGACACACCCUUUUGAUGGCCCUAGUUGUGACCCGCUUUUGAAUCACGGGACGAGUGAAGUAAUCCACAACUUAGUCAAGCUUUAAAUUUGGCCCGAUUGAAGAGAGAAAAUCGAAGAGUGGAAGGAGGACCCUUAUCCGAUUCUAUGUCUAUAAUAGUCGCUUCGAGGAGGGGAGUGGAGGGAAUGAUAUUUAAGCCUGAUAAACGAGUUGUCUUAAUGAUGACGAUUAUUGUUAAAGAAGGUGGAUUUAUGUCGUGGGACAUGCCCAAAAUUCUGUUAAAAGCAUAUAAUCUUUUGCUUGGAUUAGGACAAAUGCUCAUGACUUUUCGGAAAAACAAAAGCCCAAGUUCUAUUUGAACACUUAGAGUGCGUUUGGUAACCAUUUUGUUCUCGAUAAUAAUUUAUUAUUAGAAAUUAUUCUUUUUUAUUAUGUUUUUUUUUUUUUUUGUGACUCGGGAACUACCGUACAGCUGGCGGCGUAAAUCCGGGUCGAAUUGAGCCACCACCACAGACCCAGCCACGGGUGAGUCGCGCGAAUGCGACGCCUCUAUGAUUCGAACUUCUCCUCUUCGUGAGGGAGAGAGAGCUCGAAGCCAACUGCGCCACCGCAAACAAUGGUUUCUUUUUUAUUAUGCUCCUAGGCAUAUUUUCUGAAUAAAAGAACGCAUUUAAUAAUUUUCCAAAAAUUUUUGAUUGUAUAAUAGAUAAAGAACCUAAUUGUCUUUGGUCAACGACAUAAAAUUUCUAUUCCAAUUAUAAAAUUUUAUCAAAUCAUAGAAAUCUAUUGAUUAAUUAUAUUUAUAUAGAUUAAAUAUAUUUAUACUAAAUAAUAAACAUAUUAACUACUCAAAGUUUUAUUAACCACGACGAGGCCUCAGCCUGGGCCACCUCGCCGGCCAUCGAGGGCCGAGGCCGAGGCCUCGCCGGUCGCUUACCAUGGCCGAGGCCAGCGACCGACCAAAAGAAGAAAAAAAGACAAAAAAAAUUAAAAAAUUAAAAGAAACAAAAAAAGAAUAUAAAUUUACAAAACGUGUUUCUAUUCAUUUUUUAUUCCUGGAAUAAGUUUACUAAACGCGUCUUUCUUGUAAAAAAUUGUUCCCCGAAACAAUUUUUGAACAUAAAUAUUAAUAAUCGCACCCUAAAUUGUGUAAUGAAAAUCUACAUUUUUUGUUAUUUCUUUUAUAUACACAAGCUGUGUUUUCUGCAGAAUUUUGCCUCUCUUUGGCCCUCAAAGCGUGAGAAGGGAAAGAAACUAUUGAGAAACAUGACAUUUCUGCAAAUUCGAGACCAGGGACUUGAAACAUUCAAUUUCGCUAAAGCAAAUAGCGGUUCGCCAAACACAUUGUCGAAAGAAGUUUCGGAUUCAUAGUAUUAAGUCAGAAAUAGUCUAUUCAUCCGUCGCUAAACAGCAUAAUCAUCCGAGGUUACGCCUGUUGCUUGAUCUGCGUUAACAGAAAUCGCUACAACGUUCGCCUUUCUGGAGAAGAUGGACGAAGAAAAAUGUCGUCUUCUUGUUGAUCGGUGAGAAACCAGCAAACAUUUUCUCUAAAAAGAGGAGAGAGAGAGAGAGAGCUGGUGACGAAGCCAUAGCUUGAAAAAUUGAAAAGAUGAGAGAGAGAAAGAGGAAUGGAGGGAGAUAAAGUGCCUGCAUAUACAACCCUCGAAAAAUUGAAAAGAUGAGAGAAAAAGAGCAUCCAAGCCCCUUCAGCUUUAAUUUUUCAAUUCUUACAUAUUUCAGAUCACCGGACAGAUAUCGCUUUUUAAGUAGAGCAUAUACGCUAGGUCAACCGAUGACGUGACAGUCGCCGAACACUGAAUAUUUUCUCGAAUGAUCCAAGGCUUAAAAGCGCCCGCCCGAACCCACCAAAAGAAAAAGAGUAGUUGCCACUGUUCGCGAAUUCCCGAGAGGUCCUAACGCGACAAGGGACGCACGAGCAACAGUGCCGCCCCGCUUCUCUGCUGGACGGCGUAUGGGCCGUCCGAUUUGCUGACCCUGGGUCGGUCAAAGUCAAUCAUCGACGGCCGAAACUCGCUCUCACGUCACCCCUUCAAGGAGCUUCUGAUUUAUUAUUCUUCUUUUUUAACCAACUUCUGAUUUAUUCAUUUUAGGGAUUUUUCUUUUUGAGAAAGAAAUGUUUUUCUCGAAUCUUUUUUUUUAAAUUUUUCUUUUUCUGUGGACGGAGCAGCAUGGGCCCACCUAACUCAAUGGGCCGCCUAUCCUCUAAUUUAUUUCCCUUUCCCGGCUCUCCUUUCAUUUAUUUAUUCAUUUGUUUGUUUGUUUUUAUCAUUUCGGCACUUAUCAUGGUUUCUCUUCUUUUUCUUGGCAGCACGCAUCCUGGCUUUGGAAUUUUCCUCCCUUUUUCCCUCUUUCGCUUGUUUUUCUUGCGGUUGUAGGAUAAUCAGAUCUUUCUCUUUUGGCCAUAGACAUAAAGAUAUAUUUGAAUUAAGAUAUUAUCUGUGUAUAUUGUGUAAUAGCCGUGUUAUUCGGUUUUAUGGACUGACUAUCUAUUUAUAACAAGAUAAGUUUUAUUCUCUAGUUACAUUGACACAAUGAAAUGGACGGUUGAUGGCCGCAGCUUUAAUAGUAUGAUAGGAGAAAGGAAACGUUGAAUGAUAAGGAUCUAAGCAUUUUAGUCAAUGAUCAGCUCCAUUAAAUAGAUCUCCCCUACUGUGGCUUAAUUUUCAAAAGAAGUCCAAAUUUAUUGUUUGACCCAUCUGAAAAGAGCACUUGGAUUAGACUUGUAUAAUUCAUUAGUGCAAUGGUUAGGUUAAGCAAGUGCUACUUUAGUGACGUUGAAAUGAUUUUCUGUAUAUAUAGGCUAAAGUAUAGACCCUAGGCUGCCUAAUCAAGCUUAUUCCUCCUUAAUUCGGCUUGAGAAUAUGGGAUUUGUCGUAUAAAUAAUCUUUAUGGGGAAUCUAAUUUCAAGAUGAGAUUUCGCUGAAUAAUGUCGAACUUUAAAAAAAAAACUAAGAAUAUAUUUAUAUGUUACCAAACUUUAAAAAAAAAUAGAUAUUCUCAUUUAAUAAAUGAUUGUGUGAGUCAUGCUCAACCCUAAAUUAAGCAUUAUCCUGUGCACUUUUACCUAAAUCCAAUUUCUUUAUAUUGUUUUGGAAAAAAAUUAUUUUUAUUUUGUUUGCUUAAAAAUAUUUAGGUUCCAUUCUCAUUUAACUAUGACAGAUAAUUUCAUUUAUUAAUAUAAACAACAAAACUUCUAAGUUUCGGUUUUUAUUUUUUUUAUAUUUUUUUGUCCUUUCGUUGAUUUUUCCGGUGUAACAAAUUUCUAAUCAGAAAUGAUUCUUUUUUAUUCUGUUCCUGAAAAUAAUUUAUAAGCAUUUUAAACCGUUUGAUAAGUGUCUAAAAUUUCUGAUUUUAUAAUAAGAGCCGAAAUUUUUUAAAUAGAAAAUAAUAUAUUUUCCAGCGGAGAAGCGGGGCGGCACUGUUGCUCGUGCGUCCCUUGUCGCGUCAGGACCUCUCAAGAAUUCGCGAACAGUGGCAACUACUCUGUCUUUUCGUGGGCGCUUUUAAGCCUUGGAUCGUUCGCACACGUUUCCGCCUCCCUCAUCGUUCAGGAGCACUAGUGGAGUCAAGUUUUACGCAAGUUUACGCAAGUUUACGCAAUAUUUACCUGAGUAUUGGAGUCAACCUUCUGAACGCGCCGGGUGAGACACGGAAAUGCCCUUCGUCUGAAUAAUUUCACUUUCCUUCAAUCGAGAUCCUUUCCUGCGCACUCUAACAGCGACUGCAUAACAAUACGCUAUGCCGUUCCACCUAACAUCCGAUGCCUCCUUCACCGUUUCGAUUUUUCGCUACAUAAAUAAACCCAAAUUCCAGCCAUCCUCAUGCAUCCCUGCAACUCCCGCUGGCAACUCUAACCACAACCUCAUUCCUUCUUCUCAAUUCCAAUGUCCAACUCUCUCUCUCUCUGCCCCCCCUCCCCUCUCCCCCCGCGCAUGGAGAAUCCGAACAACCAGGUCUUCCAUGAAUGCAUUGAUGUCCCCACAGAACUUGGUGGGCCAGAAGGUGGCUCCGAAUGCUUUGAUGACGACGGUCGUCCCAAAGGCACAGGUACUUUGUUUUUCUCUUCAUUUCUUUUUCGAAUAGAGUGAAGUGAAAAUUACCACGACUUGUUAUGAAAGACUUGGAAUAACUACCGCAAAGAAUCGCCUGUCUUCAAGAUCAAACCAGGGAAUAACACAACAAAGUUCGAGAUAUUCUUCACAGAAAAGAAGGAAAUCUUUUUCUAUAAAACACAGUGAAAAAUGAAAUUUAUUUACGCCAGUAGCCUAGCCUAGUAAUAAAUUUCACGUCAACCCGAUGUUGUGAUCUCAGGGCAGUCAGUGAAAUUAUUACCUUUUUUAUUCCUUGCUUGACGAAUUCAGCAAUCCUCUUCUCUUUUCCAUUUUAAGGGAGUAAAAUAAAAUGGUAUGGGGCCCAACUUAUCCUCUUUAUUCUCUCCUCUCUCUCUUCUCUCUCCCCUCCUCCGCACGCUCUCUCUAUCUCUCUCUUCUGUCGCCCAGCUCUCUCUCUUCCACCGAGCCUUCGGAGGACCGAUUCACGCCGCCUGCGCUCGCGGCGGGGUUGCGUCCCUCUUCCUCCCUGGCAAGAACCUCUUCGGCAACAUCCCUGCCGAGAUCGGCCUCCUCGGCUAGCUCAGACGUUUCAACCUCGCCGGUAGUGACUUCUCCAAGCCCAUCCCAUCCCGCCUCUUCAUGUGACCUCACUCGUCUCUCUCGAGCUCUCCCUAAACUCGCUCUCCGGUCCGAUCCCGACCCAGAUCAAGAACCUCCGCAACCUCGCCCACUUGGACCUGUCCUCCAACUCGCUCAGUGGGUCGCUCCCCGAAGCGCUCGCGAAGCUCAGGAGCCUCUCCGGGACGCUGAAC